AAUAGCAGAGAGGUUAAAGCGUCUGCCCAGUAGGGUAAAGGUCCCAAGUUCGAUUCCCGGUUG
rnacentral:tRNA from 1 species